rnacentral:misc_RNA from 1 species
AAGUCGUAACAAGGUUUCCGUAGGUGAACCUGCGGAAGGAUCAUUAUUGAAUAAAUCUGGCUUGGUUGAUGCUGGUCUUUUCGGAGACAUGUGCACACCUGGUCAUCUUUAUAUCUCCACCUGUGCACCUUUUGUAGACCUGGAUUCAACUUUCCGAGGAAACUCGGUUGUGAGGAGUUGCUUAAUAGGCUUUCCUUGUUCGUUUCCAGGGCUAUGUUUUCAUAUACACCUUACGAAUGUAACAGAAUGUCAUUAUUAGGCUUAAUUGCCUUAUAAACUAUAUACAACUUUCAGCAACGGAUCUCUUGGCUCUC